rnacentral:rRNA from 1 species
GAUGAACGCUGGCGGUAUGCUUAACACAUGCAAGUCGAACGGACUCUUCGGAGUUAGUGGCGGACGGGUGAGUAACGCGUGAGAAUCUGGCUUUGGGUUCGGGACAACCACUGGAAACGGUGGCUAAUACCGGAUGUGCCGAGAGGUAAAAGAGAAAUUGCCUGAAGAUGAGCUCGCGUCUGAUUAGCUAGUUGGUGAGGUAAAGGCUCACCAAGGCAGCGAUCAGUAGCUGGUCUGAGAGGAUGACCAGCCACACUGGGACUGAGACACGGCCCAGACUCCUACGAGAGGCAGCAGUGGGGAAUUUUCCGCAAUGGGCGAAAGCCUGACGGAGCAAUACCGCGUGAGGGAAGAAGGCUCUUGGGGUGUAAACCUCUUUUCUUAGGGAAGAACAAAAUGACGGUACCUAAGGAAUCAGCAUCGGCUAACUCCGUG